GACGAACGCUGGCGGCGUGCCUAACACAUGCAAGUCGAGCGGAGAUACCUGGAGGAAGUUUUCGGAUGGAAUCCAGAUAUUUUAGCGGCGGACGGGUGAGUAACGCGUGAGCAACCUGCCUUUCACAGGGGGAUAAGACGGCGAAAGCCGUUCUAAUACCGCAUGAGACCACAGAGAUGAUAUUUCAGGGGUCAAAGGAGCAAUCCGGUGAAAGAUGGGCUCGCGUCCGAUUAGGUAGUUGGUGAGGUAACGGCCCACCAAGCCAAUGAUCGGGAGCCGGCCUGAGAGGGGGAACGGCCACAUUGGAACUGAGAGACGGUCCAAACUCCUACGGGAGGCAGCAGUGGGGAAUAUUGGGCAAUGGGGGAAACCCUGACCCAGCAACGCCGCGUGAGGGAAGAAGGUUUUCGGAUUGUAAACCUCUUUCGGCCUUGACGAAGGCAUCUCUGUUGGGGGUGUUGACGGUAGGGGCAGAAGAAGCACCGGCUAACUACGUGCCA
rnacentral:rRNA from 1 species